rnacentral:rRNA from 1 species
AAUCAACGCUGGCGGCGUGCCUAACACAUGCAAGUCGAACGCGAAAGCCCCGCAAGGGCAAGUAGAGUGGCAAACGGGUGAGUAACGCGUGGGUGACCUACCUUCGAGGUGGGGGAUAACGUUCCGAAAGGGACGCUAAUACCGCAUGACAUUCUGCCUUUGAAGAGGUGGAAAUCAAAGCCUGGGACCGCAAGGCCAGGCGCUUGAAGAUGGGCCCGCGUCCGAUUAGCUAGUUGGNGGGGUAACGGCUCACCAAGGCAUCGAUCGGUAGCCGGCCUAAGAGGGCGGACGGCCACACUGGGACUGAGACACGGCCCAGACUCCUACGGGAGGCAGCAGUGGGGAAUUGUUCGCAAUGGGCGCAACGCCUGACGACGCAACGCCGCGUGGAGGAUGAAG